rnacentral:rRNA from 1 species
CCUACGGGUGGCAGCAGUAGGGAAUCUUCCACAAUGGGCGAAAGCCUGAUGGAGCAACGCCGCGUGGGUGAAGAAGGUCUUCGGAUCGUAAAACCCUGUUGUUAGAGAAGAAAGUGCGUGAGAGUAACUGUUCUCGUUUCGACGGUAUCUAACCAGACAGCCACGGCUAACUACGUGCCAGCCGCCGCGGUAAUACGUAGGUGGCAAGCGUUAUCCGGAUUUAUUGGGCGUAAAGGGAACGCAGGCGGUCUUUUAAGUCUGAUGUGAAAGCCUUCGGCUUAACCGGAGUAGUGCAUUGGAAACUGGUAGACUUGAGUGCAGAAGAGGAGAGUGGAACUCCAUGUGUAGCGGUGAAAUGCUUAGAUAUAAGGAAGAACACCAGUGGCGAAAGCGGCUCUCUGGUCUGUAACUGACGCUGAGGUUCGAAAGCGUGGGUAGCAAACAGGAUUAGAUACCCCAGUAGUG